ensembl:lncRNA novel transcript
CGAGCUCUCAGAUGGGAGGAACAGGUGACAGGGAGCCCUCCCCAGGGGAGCCGCGCCCCGAACCUCACAGGCGGGCGUGUGGAGCGGGAGGCGGGGGUGGGGUGAGGCCUCCAGACCCCAUGGAAGAUUGAAAUGUCAUCUGUCUCGUUUUCAAAGGAAGCUCAGCGGGCUCCAUCCCCGCCUUUUGCAAGAAGAUGACUCUUCUGCCAGAUGGGAGGGGACGCCCACCUCCGCCACGCCAGCUUCUGUCUUCCUCCCGGUGACGGCACCACAGCUCCCCCGGCACCGCGUACAUUCCUGAAGUGGUGCCCCCACGAUGCCUCGGAAAGUAACCAUGGCCGCCCUCAUGGCAGCUCACCUGUUUUGGGGUAUUUUAUUCGCAUCUGCAGAGUAGAGAGGAACAUUCCAGAAUGUGAAGACUUCAGAACGUGGACCCUGGGUUCUGGAGAGCAGGUGGCCUGACUUUUAGCUGGGAGCUGGGGGGAUACACCCACAACUCAGUGGGAGGACCCCCAGCCGCUCUGGAGACCUGGCUUUCCAGUAGGUCUGCAUAGCUCUGAAUUGAUUUUGGAAGAAACCGCCCUGAACUGUUUUUCUCACUGCCCUGUCUGGAAAAAAAAAACAUCACCUUGUAACUUUAUGUAAAUGAGCCACAUAGCAUGCUCCUUUGCAGGAGGGGCUCAGCAUGCCUGCCUGGUUCCUCCUCGUUACUGAGCUGGAUCUCAGAAUGGGAAAAGACCAUAGUUUAUCUACCUGCUCUUGAGGGGUGUGUGGAAAGUUCCCUGUUUGAGAUCUACAAAGAACCUUCUCUCCUGGUGAACACAAGCGUGCAUUUCACACGGGUGGACUUCCAGCAGCAGAAUUGCUGGGUCAUAGGUCACUGGCAUGCCAGCUCUUGGUGGGACCACAAACCAUCUUUGGAGUGGUUGUGCAAUAGCAAUACAAGCUUCUAUCAGGAGGAUGAGGCCCCGCUUGCCCAUGUCCUCACCAGGACUGGAUGUCUUCCCUCUGAACUUCAGCCAUCCUAGUGGGUGCUGCAUCUUUUAGAGAAAUGAGCUUGACACAUACUUCUACCAUGUCUUGAUAACUCAAGGUCACAGUCAUUAGCAUUAACCACAGUCCUAAUGAUGUACUCAAGCUGAGCAGGCAGGUGUCCCAUGUCAUGCACUCAGGGCCCCCCAGUUAGCAAUGACUCCACCUGCACAGAACCCACAAUAGCUGCCAGAUGACAGAUCUGCCUAGGGCUCCUGAGGUCUCUGCCAUGCUUACCUCCCUGUUAGCUACCCCUUUGCCCUUCCUGCCAGUGGGUCUCCUGUAGAAAUUGUUCUCACCAUUGGAGCAAUUUAAAGAGAGCGAUGAUGACCCUGAGCUUCCUGCUGCUGCCCAGCCUGUUUCCGUUACCACUGAGCCUUCAUUUGGUUCAAUGCUCUGUUCAAUGCUCUGAAAUAUCUCAGAGACUUGAAUCUGUUCUGCCUGGAGCAAACAUGCCCUGCUUCACCUUCAUUCAUUCAUUCACUCAUUCACUGAUUUGUUCAUUCAGCAAAUACUCAUUGAGUAUCUGGUCUGUGUCCAGGAUAAUUUAGGUUGUGGGUGAAGGCCAAGGACAGUUACGGCCCCAAGCUUGUUGAGCUCGUAAGGCCACCCAGGGACACAUGGCUCAUGUUGUGAGCCAUGGCUCAUGUUCUACCCCCACUCCACCAUCCACACCACAAAGCAUGUUCUUCUCCACAGAUGGGCACGGGCAGUGUGGAACCUUCCAUACCUGCCCACUAGAUGAUCACCCAUCCUGCUUCUCCCAGGACUGAGGGGCUUCCCAGGACAUGGGACUUUCACUGCAGAAACUGGAAAUGUCCAGGCAAUCCAGGAUGAGUUUGGCACCCUACUGCUCACUGAGUCCUGGGACCCACAGCUGUGAGAGGGCUGCAUAUGGAACCGGUGGUUGUGCCUGCCUCAGGCAUGUCUCAGACCUGUCCCAGGUGUCUCCUAAGCACUACCACUCACUCAGGUUCAGAGAGAAAAGAGCAAGCUGGAGCCAUCCAGGUAGGAUACUUCAGACUGAGUGAAGAAAUGAAGGAUGAUGCUGUCUAACUGAAUGAGAGAUGAGCUGCUCAGAGACAAGACUCAUUGGAAACAUCUAUCCUUGUGAACACAAGACUCACCAGAUCCCUGCUCAAGACUCAGUGGAAACAUCUGAAGGGCCCCAUUUCCUCAGAAAGCCUCCACUGACCACAAGGCAGGUUGGGUCCCUGUACUGGUUCUUAUGGUCCCCUGUAUGUGUCCUGUUUUGCCCUUUCCUGAUGUAUUGAGGGAGCUCAGGGCUGAGUCUAUCUCCUUCUCCUUUAAAGCUCAGCACCUACUACAUAACA